CCUACGGGAGGCAGCAGUGGGGAAUAUUGGGCAAUGGGCGCAAGCCUGACGCAGCAACGCCGCGUGAAGGAAGAAGGCUUUCGGGUUGUAAACUUCUUUUGGCAGGGAAGAGAAGAAGACGGUACCUGACGAAUAAGCCACGGCUAACUACGUGCCAGCAGCCGCGGUAAUACGUAGGUGGCAAGCGUUGUCCGGAUUUACUGGGUGUAAAGGGCGUGUAGCCGGGUUGACAAGUCAGAUGUGAAAUCCUGCGGCUCAACCGCAGAACUGCAUUUGAAACUGUUGAUCUUGAGUACUGGAGAGGCAGGCGGAAUUCCUAGUGUAGCGGUGAAAUGCGUAGAUAUUAGGAGGAACACCAGUGGCGAAGGCGGUUUGCUGGACAGCAACUGACGUUGAGGCGCGAAAGCGUGGGGAGCAAACAGGAUUAGAUACCCUUGUAGUC
rnacentral:rRNA from 1 species